AAGAGUUUGAUCAUGGCUCAGGAUGAACGCUAGCGGGAGGCUUAACACAUGCAAGUCGAGCGGGAACACUUCGGUGAGAUGGCGACCGGCGCACGGGUGCGUAACGCGUAUGCAACCUACCUUAUACAAAGGGAUAGCCCAUGGAAACGUGGAUUAAUACCUUAUGGUACUAUAAAGCUACAUAGUUUAAUAGUUAAAACUUCGGUGGUAUAAGAUGGGCAUGCGUAUGAUUAGGUAGUUGGUAGGGUAAAGGCCUACCAAGCCGACGAUCAUUAGGGGUUCUGAGAGGAUUAUCCCCCACACUGGUACUGAGACACGGACCAGACUCCUACGGGAGGCAGCAGUGAGGAAUAUUGGUCAAUGGACGAGAGUCUGAACCAGCUAUCCCGCGUGCAGGAUGACGGCCCUAUGGGUUGUAAACUGCUUUUCUAUGCCAAGAAAUCUUACUACGUGUAGUAAGUUGACGGUAGCAUAGGAAUAAGGACCGGCUAACUCCGUGCCAGCAGCCGCGGUAAUACGGAGGGUCCAAGCGUUAUCCGGAUUUAUUGGGUUUAAAGGGUGCGCAGGUGGGAAUGUAAGUCAGUGGUGAAAUACUGCCGCUCAACGGUAGAACUGCCAUUGAUACUGCAUCUCUUGAAUAUAGUUGAGGUAGGCGGAAUGUGUAAUGUAGCGGUGAAAUGCUUAGAUAUUACACAGAACACCGAUUGCGAAGGCAGCUUACUAAACUAUUAUUGACGCUGAUGUACGAAAGCGUGGGGAGCGAACAGGAUUAGAUACCCUGGUAGUCCACGCCGUAAACGAUGAUCACUCGUUGUUUGUGAUAUACAAUAAGCGACCGAGCGAAAGCAUUAAGUGAUCCACCUGGGGAGUACGUUCGCAAGAAUGAAACUCAAAGGAAUUGACGGGGGCCCGCACAAGCGGAGGAACAUGUGGUUUAAUUCGAUGAUACGCGAGGAACCUUACCUGGGUUUAAAUGUAGAUUGCAUGAUCGGGAAACUGAUCUUUCCUUCGGGACUAUUUACAAGGUGCUGCAUGGUUGUCGUCAGCUCGUGCCGUGAGGUGUCGGGUUAAGUCCCAUAACGAGCGCAACCCCUAUCGUUAGUUGCCAUCAGGUCAUGCUGGGGACUCUAACGAGACUGCCGGUGUAAACCGUGAGGAAGGUGGGGAUGACGUCAAAUCAGCACGGCCCUUAUAUCCAGGGCUACACACGUGUUACAAUGGUCGAUACAAAGAGCAGCCACUUGGUGACAAGGAGCUAAUCUCUAAAGUCGAUCACAGUUCGGAUCGAAGUCUGCAACUCGACUUCGUGAAGUUGGAUUCGCUAGUAAUCGCGCAUCAGCCACGGCGCGGUGAAUACGUUCCCGGGCCUUGUACACACCGCCCGUCAAGCCAUGGAAGCUGGGGGUGCCUGAAGUCUGUAACCGCAAGGAGGGUGUAGCUGGUAACUGGGAUGAAGUCGUAACAAGGUAGCCGUA
rnacentral:rRNA from 1 species